rnacentral:precursor_RNA from 15 species
UGGGAAAGAAUUGAAAGGAUGGAUUCUGGGAGUUGUAGCCUUUCAAACAGAGCUCUGCAUGUACACACCUGUAUUGGAACACUACAGCUCCCCGAACUUCCUCAUCUCACUCUCUAAGAAA